ACUCAAAUGAAUUGACGGGGGCCCGCACAAGCGGUGGAGCAUGUGGUUUAAUUCGAUGCAACGCGAAGAACCUUACCGGGGCUUGAACUGCAGUGGACAUCCCAUGAAAGUGGGCUUCCUUCGGGACCGCUGUAGAGGUGCUGCAUGGUUGUCGUCAGCUCGUGUCGUGAGAUGUUGGGUUAAGUCCCGCAACGAGCGCAACCCCUGUCCUUAGUUGCCAACAGCUCGGCUGGGAACUCUAAGGAGACUGCCGACCCUAAGUCGGAGGAAGGUGGGGACGACGUCAAAUCCUCAUGGCCCUUACGUCCCGGGCUACACACGUGCUACAAUGGCCGGUACAAAGGGUUGCAAGACCGCAAGGUGGAGCUAAUCCCAAAAAACCGGUCUCAGUUCAGAUCGAAGUCUGCAACUCGACUUCGUGAAGGCGGAAUCGCUAGUAAUCGCGGAUCAGAAUGCCGCGGUGAAUACGUUCCCGGGCCUUGUACACACCGCCCGU
rnacentral:rRNA from 1 species